CAAGCGGGGGCACUAAAAAAUAAUCGUAAAUGGAUUUUGUAUUUGUUAUCGCCAUGUGCCAAUGCCACCGAUAUUACCAUGAAACAAACACAUUUUGAGGGGUUGCGACAAAAUAUGUAGAAGUUUAACCUACUGUGCUAUUUAUAAUCGGAUACAUCUAGAAAUAAUGAUGAUACCGAAGACGGUUCUCAGGCUGACUUAAGUCCAAGGUGCCCGGAGUGAGGACUUUAAGCAGUUUUGCACACUGUUUUAUUAGAACUGUAAAUUGGUACUUUAAACCACGAUGUCACUCGAGAAUUAUUAUCCUCUCUCGAAAGUAUUUGAUUUCUUUCUUAUUUGUUAA